GAGGAAUAUUGGUCAAUGGACGGAAGUCUGAACCAGCCAAGUAGCGUGCAGGAAGACGGCCCUAUGGGUUGUAAACUGCUUUUGUAUGGGGAUAAAGUCAAUCACGUGUGAUUGUUUGCAGGUACCAUACGAAUAAGGACCGGCUAAUUCCGUGCCAGCAGCCGCGGUAAUACGGAAGGUUCGGGCGUUAUCCGGAUUUAUUGGGUUUAAAGGGAGCGUAGGCCGGAGAUUAAGUGUGUUGUGAAAUGUAGAUGCUCAACGUCUGACUUGCAGCGCAUACUGGUUUCCUUGAGUACGCACAACGUUGGCGGAAUUCGUCGUGUAGCGGUGAAGUGCUUAGAUAUGACGAAGAACUCCGAUUGCGAAGGCAGCUGACGGGAGCGCAACUGACGCUUAAGCUCGAAGGUGCGGGUAUCGAACAGGAUUAGAUACCCUGGUAGUCCGCACAGUAAACGAUGGAUGCCCGCUGUUGGUACCUGGUAUCAGCGGCUAAGCGAAAGCAUUAAGCAUCCCACCUGGGGAGUACGCCGGCAACGGUG
rnacentral:rRNA from 1 species